GUAGACACUCAAUUCGUUGAAGUCCUCUAUUUCAGGCAAGACCGCAAAUCAUUCUUCCCAAAAUCAGAUUUGUCCUUCCUUUGUGUGCUUCAGCCACAAUCAUCUUCUAUCGAGGAAAAUAAUGUAGAGGUCAGGGCGGCCCAGGACGCCGAUUUUGAUAUCAUAAACAUGUCAAGUCAGUAGACAAGCAAGAUAAGACUGCAAGUAGUGAGGAUCAAGAAUUCCUUGGUUGGGAAGAUGCUGGCUAUGAUGGAGUUGUUGAAAUCUCGGAGCAUAUGGAUACUUAGAACUUCAUCAAUAAGCUCAGGGCUUCAAUUUCCAAAUGGAGAGAAUUGGUAAAGAAUUUGAUUCUCUCUUCAUUGUUUUCUUUUAGAUGUAACUUGUUGAUCUAUGUGUCUUAUGCCUUGAUAGUUAUCAUGAGUCACAGAAGAGGAAAGGCAUGUGGAUCAAAGUGCCCAUUGAGCAUGCACACCUUGUCAAGUCACUAGUUAAGGAAGGAUUUAGGUACAGGCAGAUGCUUUGCUUAAGGUGGCCGUUUCUUGCUUUUGGUCUAAAUGAAAAAGGAGGGCGAACUGUGAACCCUCAAUGUCAUUCAUUAAAUUCUUCCUUUUGGCUACUCUUAGGCAGUCGAUUAGAGGGAGGAACAGACAAAGGGCCCUUCUUAGACCAUCAUAACUCAUAAGCCAAAACAUGUCUGUGCAAGUUCAUUCUCAGAUGCCUGAUUUCUGGUGAAAUUACAUCAUGACUCGGCAGUUUUGAAGUCGAAACAUUUUCUUCUCUUCCCAGGUGCUUGUGGUUAUGGAGAAAGGUGGGAAACUCAAAGGCACAGGCAUCUGGAAGCUCCUGACUGGACUUGUCAAUGAGGUAGACACCGAUUUCGAAGAAGUCCUGGCAUCCGGCAUCCAGAGAAGUAGAAGAAGAGACAGGAGUAAGUGAUCAUCUGCUGCAGAAAAGCGCACACAAAACAAAGAAAAUGGUUUAUGUACUAUCCCUUUUUAUUUUUUUUUCGUCAUUGUUGUUCCAUAAAAAUUAAACACAUGGUGUGCAUGUAUUGUAUAGUCACCAGAGUGAUGAAAGACUGAGUCCUUUCUCAGUGUAUUGCACCAGGUUAUAUAGC